AUGACCCGAAUUCAACGCUGAAAUGAACUCAGCUUCAAUCUUCUCCAUCCACAUGAUAUUUUCCCGUUCUACUCUUCUCUCCCUCUCACAUUCUCAAUUCAAAAGCCUGUGAACAAAAAAAAAAAUCAUGAGCUAAAAUCCAAAUUCGAAGAUCCUUCCUCGUUCAUGAAAUCGACGAGUUUAUGCCGAAAUCAAGCUCUUCAAAUAGCUCACGUAAGUACGUAGAAUUGAGGAUAAACUGAAACGAAACUGCUUCGAGAUUAACUUGAGUUUUACGUGCUAGAUUAAGGAACGAAGUAAAAAUUGAAUCGAGAGAACUUACUGAAUUAGGAUGAAAACAGGUGGAGAUGGAAAGAGAUAUGGAAAGAUAAUGAGGAACCCAAAUUGGCAAUCAAACUUAAACAAAAGCAUAUGACAUAUAAGUCAUGUAGAUGUUGUAUGGACUUUGUAGAAUUUGUAUGGAUAUGUACUCUAUGUAAUGAACUAUAAUAUGUAGAAUUUCCAUAUGUAAUAAACUAUGAUCAUGUUGAAUGUAAAGUUGGUUCGUCAAUAUUAAUGUAAACUCAAGUAUGUGAAAAUGUUGAUGAAUGAAAUGCAUUGAAUUGUCUUUGUUAA